AGUGAACGCUGGCGGUAGGCCUAACACGUGCAAGUCGAACGGCAGCACAGUAAGAGCUUGCUCUUACGGGUGGCGAGUGGCGGACGGGUGAGGAAUACAUCGGAAUCUACUUUUUCGUGGGGGAUAACGUAGGGAAACUUACGCUAAUACCGCAUACGACCUACGGGUGAAAGCAGGGGAUCUUCGGACCUUGCGCGAUUGAAUGAGCCGAUGUCGGAUUAGCUAGUUGGCGGGGUAAAGGCCCACCAAGGCGACGAUCCGUAGCUGGUCUGAGAGGAUGGUCAGCCACACUGGAACUGAGACACGGUCCAGACUCCUACGGGAGGCAGCAGUGGGGAAUAUUGGACAAUGGGCGCAAGCCUGAUCCAGCCAUACCGAGUGGGUGAAGAAGGCCUUCGGGUUGUAAAGCCCUUUUGUUGGGAAAGAAAAGCAGCAGGUUAAUACCCCGCUGUUCUGACGGUACCCAAAGAAUAAGCACCGGCUAACUUCGUG
rnacentral:rRNA from 1 species